rnacentral:rRNA from 1 species
AAAACUUUCAACAACGGAUCUCUUGGCUCUCGCAUCGAUGAAGAACGCAGCGAAAUGCGAUAAGUAGUGUGAAUUGCAGAACUUUGUGAACCAUCGAAUCUUUGAACGCAAAUUGCGCCUUUUUCGGAAGGCAUGUCUGUUUGAGGGCACC